AUCACAAAAUGGAUGUUGCAGAUGCAGGCAUACUUAACAUCACAGAGGCAAUUGGUCACAGUUAGAUUUUGUUUUCCCCUUCUUUAAAGCAACCAUGUUGAUGUCCCAAAAGCUUAUUGUUAAUAGCAUACUACUCAUUUUAUUUGAAAUUCUACUCUAAAAUGGAUACCGUGUACAUUGCAUUGAGAAGAAACUAAUGUGACAUGAACUCCACAUCCUAGAGAAUAUGUGGUUUCCAAAUUAAAUGGGCCAUUGCCACAUCAGAUUUCCACUAUCAAAUUAUAUAUGCUACAGAAAGUAAGAGUUCAACUCUAAGAGUUCAACCCUAAUAUAUUCCUUUACAGCACAGUGUGGCUCCGAUACCUUCUAUUUAGUGUCCACAGUAACAAAUUAACAAUAAUUAGGACAAAGGGCUAAUGGAGGAUUGUAACACCACUUAUUGCUAAGUUAUUCCUAAAGAACAUAAUAGCAUAGCUACAUUAGAGCAGGGGAAUGGAAUAUGCAUAUGAAGCAUACUAAUGCAAGAUACAUCAAUUACUAUAAUAAUUAGUAGCUUUUGUGCCCUCCUAAAGAUUAGCUUAUAUUAUGUUACAAAAUGCUCUGAAAUAGUACUUGCAAACUAACCUGGUCAAUCAAAUGCGUACCAG
rnacentral:misc_RNA from 1 species